rnacentral:rRNA from 1 species
CUGAUGGCGACCGGCGUACGGGUGAGUAACGCGUAUCCAACCUGCCCUUUACUAUGGGACAGCCCGUCGAAAGGCGGAUUAAUACCGUAUGUUGUCAUGUUGAUGCAUAUUUUCAUGACCAAAGGCUUCGGCCGGUAAAGGAUGGGGAUGCGUCUGAUUAGCUUGCCGGCGGGGUAACGGCCCACCGGGGCGACGAUCAGUAGGGGUUCUGAGAGGAAGGUCCCCCACAUUGGAACUGAGACACGGUUCAAACUCCUACGGGAGGCAGCAG